GAUGAACGCUAGCUACAGGCUUAACACAUGCAAGUCGAGGGGUCUCAAGGGAGCUUGCUUCUGCGAGACGACCGGCGCACGGGUGAGUAACGCGUAUCCAACCUACCCUUCAUAUUGGGAUAGCCUUCCGAAAGGGAGAUUAAUACCGAAUAACAUGAGAAGAUUGCAUGAACCUCUCAUGAAAGCUCCGGCGAUGAAGGCUGGGGAUGCGUUCCAUUAGGUAGUAGGCGGGGUAACGGCCCACCUAGCCUACGAUGGAUAGGGGUUCUGAGAGGAAGGUCCCCCACACUGGAACUGAGACACGGUCCAGACUCCUACGGGAGGCAGCAGUGAGGAAUAUUGGUCAAUGGGCGCAAGCCUGAACCAGCCAAGUAGCGUGAAGGAAGACUGCCCUAUGGGUUGUAAACUUCUUUUAUACGGGAACAAACCCCGGUACGUGUACCGGAUUGCGUGUACCGUAUGAAUAAGCAUCGGCUAACUCCGUGCCAGCCGCCGCUGUAAAAC
rnacentral:rRNA from 1 species